UCCCUGGUGGUCUAGUGGUUAAGACUCUGCGCUUCUACUGCAGGGAGCUCAGGUUCAAACCCUGCUCAGGGAA